AUAUCCUCUGGUGGGGGAUAACCUCGGGAAACUGAGGCUAAUACCCCAUAGAUAUUCAAUGCUGGAAGGCUUGGAUAUUGAAAGCGCAAGCGCCAGAGGGUGAGUCUGCGGCCUAUCAGGUAGUAGGUGGUGUAACGGACCACCUAGCCUAAGACGGGCACGGGCCUUGAGAGAGGGAGCCCAGAGAUGGGUUCUGAGACACGAACCCAGGCCCUACGGGGCGCAGCAGGCGCGAAACCUUCGCACUGCGCGAAAGCGCGACGAGGGGAACCCGAGUGCCUCUCCAUUUCGGGGAGGCUUUUCACAAGCCUAAAAAGCUUGUGGAAUAAGGGCUGGGCAAGACGGGUGCCAGCCGCCGCGGUAAUACCCGCAGCUCGAGUGGUGGUCGCUUUUAUUGAGCCUAAAACGUUCGUAGUCGGCCUUGUAAAUCCCUGGGUAAAUUGGGCCGCUUAACGGUUCAAAUUCCGGGGAGACUGCAAGGCUAGGGACCGGGCGAGGUCAGAGGUAACUUUCGGGGUAGGAGUGAAAUCCUGUAAUCCCGAAGGGACCACCUGUGGCGAAAGCGUCUGACUUGAACGGCUCCGACGAUGAGGAACGAA
rnacentral:rRNA from 1 species